GGUAGGAUGGCCGAAGCUAGGCGGCGGGUUGUAGCCCCGUAGAUAGAGGUUCAAGUCCUUUUCCUAUCA
rnacentral:tRNA from 2 species